CGUGAAUUCAAUCUCAUUGUCAUAAAAUUUAGCCUAAUUCAUUCAUCAUUGAAGUUUCAUGAAACUGAGAAAACACAUUAAAAUUUGAACAUGUAAAACACGAUAAAAUCCUCAAAUCACAAAUCAGGAGAGCUCAACUUGAAAACGAUCAGACAACAACCUUCAAUAUCCCUAGCUGCUUUCUUGGAAAUCCAAAUGACUUCUCCGGCUGGAGAUUUUGUAAGAAGGCGUCAAUAAAAAGAGGGCUUAAGGCUUGCUUCUCUGCUUUCUUGAACGUCCAAAUUCUCUCUCUCUAGAGAGAUCAGAAAGAACCAGAUGCCUUAUCUUUCUCUCUUUAGUUUCUAGAUUCAGACCUUAAAUCACUGCUAGCCAUUGUGCAAGAUCAUCAAAUCGCUUCUUGUCAGUUUGUGAGAUCAGAGGGGCGAACAAAGGCUGGCUUGUUUAGCGUAAAGUUGAAAGCGAAUGGGGGAAAAGAAAAUACUCGAG
rnacentral:lncRNA from 1 species